rnacentral:rRNA from 1 species
GACGAACGCUGGCGGCGUGCCUAAUACAUGCAAGUCGAGCGCUCAAGCUUGGUACUUGUUCCGCCUGGGUUAGCAGCGGACGGGUGAGUAACGCGUGGGGAAUCUGCCUUUGAGCGUGGGACAACAUCUGGAAACGAAUGCUAAUACCGCAUAAAAACUUUAACCACAAGUUUUAAGUUUGAAAGAUGCUUUUGCAUCACUUAAAGAUGAUCCCGCGUUGUAUUAGCUAGUUGGUGAGGUAAAGGCUCACCAAGGCGACGAUACAUAGCCGACCUGAGAGGGGGGACGGCCAAAAUGGGACUGAGAACCGGCCCAAACGCCCAAGGGAGGGAGCAGGAGGGAAUCUUUCGGAAUUGAGGGAAGGCUGACCGAGGAAAGGCGGGGGAGUGAAUAAGGGUUUCCGAUCGUAAAACUCCGGUGGUAGAGAAGAAAGUUGGGGAGAGGGGAAAGCGCAUCAAGUGACGGUAACUACCCAGAAAGGGACGGCUAACUACGUG